UGAGGAAUAUUGGUCAAUGGACGAGAGUCUGAACCAGCCAAAUCGCGUGAAGGAAGACUGCCCUACGGGUUGUAAACUUCUUUUGUACAGGAAUAAAAGACAUUACGUGUAAUGUAUUGCAUGUACUGUACGAAUAAGCAUCGGCUAACUCCGUGCCAGCAGCCGCGGUAAUACGGAGGAUGCGAGCGUUAUCCGGAUUUAUUGGGUUUAAAGGGUGCGCAGGCGGGAUUUUAAGUCAGAGGUGAAAUCUUACAGCUUAACUGUGAAACUGCCUUUGAUACUGCGAGCCUAGAAUAUGGAAGAGAGCGAGGGAAUAGCUGGUGUAGCAGUGAAAUGCGUAGAUAUCAGAUAGAACACCAAUGGCGAAGGCAGUCACUUUGUCCAUUACUGACGCUAAAGCACGAAAGCG
rnacentral:rRNA from 1 species